rnacentral:lncRNA from 1 species
AGAAGAUCCAGUGGGGUUGACCUCUAGAUCCACUGGGUUUUUCUCUAAUCGGCGUUUUGCAACAUUCGGCUUUUGAUUCGUGUGUCUGACCUCCUGGUUCCGUUUUCUGGCUUUUAUUGGCGUUUUGCAACAUUCGGCUUUUGAUUCGUGUGUCUGGUUUAGUACCGAUGGGGAUUCGGCUUUUGAUUCGUGUCUGAUUCGUGUGUUGGUGUUGGAUUCGUGUGUGUGAUGAAGAUGGAGCAGUGGAGAUACACAAUCCUGGGGAACUAACCUCAUGAAAGAAUGAAACUGGUUUCAAGUAGCAUUGGUUAUUGUUCAGAUCUGAAGGGGGAAGGUUUCUUUGCUCCCUUAUUUGGAUUGAAAACAAGCACAUAAUGUUGGGUGUGAAUCGGUUUCCGACAUCGCGUUUAUUCAGGUGGAUGGCCUUGCGCCACUCUUCCAGCAACCUUUUUGUUGGAG